GUUGGCCCCGCCCCUAAGUGACGCAUGCGUGGAGGAUAUGUUCUUCGCAGCAAAGUCCUCCUUUACUCCACACACGCUUCUAAGCCUCGGCACAUCUACUAACUACACUUUAUUCAUCCUCCGUGUCAGCAUCAACUCCACUCGUCUCACUCAACUUUGGACAUUAUUAGGCCCGCUUAGAUUGCUCGUUGUUUGAGCGCGCUAGUUAGCCUAGCAUGCUAGUUAGCUUAGCUUGUUAGCCGCUAACAAAGAGACGCGGAUUUGAUCAACACAUCGCUUAGUUAAGAUCAAGUGUGAGUGUAAAGUGUUGUGAUUGUGUGGAAAUGUGUGAAAGAACCAUAGCAAAGUACGAGGAGGAACUUUGUCCAACUAAAGAGGAGAAGGAGCGACCACAUCAAAAACCUCAAGUUGUGUUACACAGAACAGAUGUCCAGCAGCUCCCUCACAUAAAAAAGGAAGAGGAGGAUCCACAGCCCCCCCACAUGAAAGAGGAAGGGGAGGAUCCACAGCCCCCCCACAUGAAAGAGGAAGAGGAAGAAGUGUGGAUCAGUCAGGAGGGAGAGUGUCCUGUAGGGCAGGAGGAGGCUGAUGUCAGCAAGUUUCCACUGACUGUUGUCUCUGUGAAGACUGAAGAGCAUGAAGACAAACCACCUGAGUCCUCACAGCUUCAUCACAGUCCAAACCUCGAUGAAGAACAUCUUCCUCGUGAGCAGGAGGUGGAACCACAGUACCCCCACAUACACAAGGAAGAAGGGGUACCACAUUCCCAACACAUCAAAGAGGGAGGAGAGGAGCCACAGCCCCCCCACAUUAAAGAGGAAGACGAGAAGCCACAGACCCAUAAUGUUAAACUGACCCUUCACAUUAAAGGGCAAGCGGAGGACCCACUGAACUUACACAUCAAAAAGGAAGAGGAGGACCCACUGACCCCCAACUUUAAAGAGGAAGAGGAGGACCAAGAGCCGCCGCAGAUUAAAGAGGAAGAGGAGGAAAAGGGCAUCAGUCAGCCUAAAUGGUUGGAGGAGUUCCCAGUGACUGGUGUCCCUGUGAAGAGUGAAGAUGAUGAGGUGAAAGGUGAAAGUGAGGAGAGGGGAGGGGGGGAGCCUCCAAGCAGCAGCUCAACACAACACAUGACAACAGAAGCUGAUGGAGACCACUGUGGAGGAUCACAAGCAGACAAGCUCUUAGCUCCACUAUCAGAUAGUGAGGACACAACGUCACACUCUCCUGACACUGAUGAUGAAGACUCUAAAGAUGAUAAGACAUGUCACACUGACAACACUCACUUCACAUGUCCUCACUGUCACAAAACUUUUAAAUACCAUUGUCGUCUGAAAUCACACAUGAGAACACACACUGGAGAAAAAACUUUUAUCUGUUCACUCUGUGGUAAAGGUUUUGCACAAAGUAACAAUUUGAAAGUCCACAUGAGAACACACACUGGUGAAAAAACAUUUUCUUGUUCAAUCUGUGGUAAAAGUUUUGCACAAAGUCAGGAUUUGAAAAAACACUGGAGAACACACACUGGAGAAAAAACUUUUAUCUGUUCACUCUGUGGUAAAGGUUUUGCACAAAGUAACAAUUUGAAAGUCCACAUGAGAACACACACUGGUGAAAAAACAUUUUCUUGUUCAAUCUGUGGUAAAAGUUUUGCACAAAGUCAGGAUUUGAAAAAACACUGGAGAACACACACUGGAGAAAAAACUUUUAUCUGUUCACUCUGUGGUAAAGGUUUUGCACAAAGUAACAAUUUGAAAGUCCACAUGAGAACACACACUGGUGAAAAAACAUUUUCUUGUUCAAUCUGUGGUAAAGGUUUUGCACAAAGUCAGGAUUUGAAAGUACACAUGAGAACACACACUGGUGAAAAAGCUUUUUCCUGUUCAACCUGUGGUAAAGGUUUUACACAAAGUCAGAAUUUGAAAGCACACAAGAGAACACACACUUGUGAUAAAUCACAUUCCUGUUCAAUCUGCAACAGAAGCUUUGGUGACCAACCAACCCUUGUAGCACACAUGAGAACACACAGUGGUAAAAAAACUUUUUCUUGUUCAAUAUGCGGUAAAGGUUUUACACAAAGUCAGGAUUUGAAAGUACACAUGAGAACACACACUGGUGAAAAACCUUUUUCUUGUUCAACCUGUGGUAAAAGUUUUACACAAAGUCAAAGUUUGAAAAGACACAUGAGAACACACACUGGUGAAAAAGCUUUUUCCUGUUCAACCUGUGGUAAAGGUUUUACACAAAGUCAAGAUGUGAAAGUACACAUGACAACACACACUGGUGAAAAAUCACAUUCCUGUUCAAUCUGCAACAGAAGCUUUGGUGAACGAUCAAGCCUUGUAGCACACAUGAGAAUACACCCGGGAGAGAAAGUGUUGAGUUGCAGUGUGUGUGGUGAAAGAUUGUCUUCUAAGUACCAGUGUAAGAAACACAAGUGUGCUGGUGAGAACAGCAGCAGCAAAUGAAACUGCAGGAUUUGAAAUAAACUGUCCAGACUUUCAUUUUGACUUUCUAACAACAUCAGUACAUAUAACAUGUUAUUGUUUGUGUAACAAUCUUUUUUAAUAUGCUUCUACAUUUAUAGAUGAGAUGGUUUGGAAUAUGGAAAUAUUACAUAUUAGUAUUUCUAAUUGUAAUAAUCCCAUAGAUUAUCACCUUUAUAUGAUAUACAUAUGUACUGGUUCACAUCUGAAACAUCUUCUGGACCACUUCAGGAAGCAUAUUAUUAUUUACUUUUUACAUAAUUUGAACAGUUGUCUUUUAUACAAUUUUGAAAUGUUAAGUUUUAUUAAUCAUUUGUUGGGUCUCUAUAAUCCAUUGUAUUAAUUAUCUUUAUUACUGUCUUUUGUAAUAUGAUGAUUGUGUUGUGAUUGUUUUAUAUGUAUGUCCCCAGACCUUUAUGCUAUAUAAAAAAAUAGAUGAAAUGGCUGAAUUGUUUGUGGAAGGAUGGUUUUGUUUUUACUAACAUACAUUUGUGGAUAAAACACAAAUUUCAAUUAUUGUGUUUUAAAACAUUUUAAUGUUUUUUUUUGUUGUUGUUAUUUUGUUGUUAUGGGACGGCGUGGCGCAGUGGGAGAGUGGCCGUGCGCAACCCGAUGGUCACUGGUUCAAAUCCCACCUAGAACCAACCUCGUCACGUCCGUUGUGUCCUGAGCAAGACACUUCACCCUUGCUCCUGAUGGGUGCUGGUUGGCGCCUUGCAUGGCAGCUCCCUCCAUCAGUGUGUGAAUGGGUAAAUGUGGAAGUAGUGUCAAAGCGCUUUGAGUACCUUGAAGGUAGAAAAGCGCUAUACAAGUACAACCCAUUUAUCAUUUAUUUAUUUAUUUUUUUAACAUCCUCCAAAACAAUAUCAAUAUCAUUCAAAGUUUGGAAUGUCAGGCAAAAGCCAAUUCUGUACAUCAUCCUACAGAGAUUUACUUGGCAUAAAUUCAUAGAGCUUUUCCUUUGGCGAGGGCAGAAAUUGGCGUUUUAUCCGAUUUUGAGUCACAAAUAUAUCAGAUUGUAAUCAGGGUGCCAAUGCUGGAUACUUUUAUGGACACUUUAUGGACGAUUUUAAAGUGAUCAAGGCGUAUUUGUUUGUCUAAAAGACAUAUCACCGACCGUCAGCGAGCUUGGUGUGUCUUUAGCCAGGUGGCUAGCUAGCCAGUCCCUUCCGCUAACCUCCAGCUCGCCUUGAACUUUAAAGUUUGCUAUUUUCGCCACAAUUUUAUCCACUUAGUUAAUCGCUUUUGAUGUUUGUGAGUUAACAACUGUUGUUUUGUCGAAGCUUGGUAUUUUAACAAUUUGCACAUUUGAAAUGCUGUGUCUAUAGGCCUCCCAGUGCUGAUGCUUUUGUAUCUGAAGGAGUUAUGUGAGAUGUUUGACAGGGAAUAGGGAAAUCUAUUUACUGGGUGAUAUGAAUGUUGACUAGCUGGGACAGGGGCGUACAAACACAAAUAAUUGACUAUCCAUUUUAAAUGCUUGCAAUUGUCAUGAUCUGUGGUCUAGAUCAUGUGUUGUUUAGUUAUGUUCUGUAAGUUUUGGACUCCAUUAGUUCCUGUAUUUGUGCACCCUUGUUUGUUUUAGUUACCAUGGCUACCUAUUAGGUUCACCUGCCUCGUGUGUCCGGUACGCACCUGCUCUAAUCAAGAAACUUUUAUUUAAGCCUGUCUCUGCCAGUUUGUCGGCCUGGUUUCAUUGUUUGCGUCACACCUUUUCCAAAUGUCGAAGAACAUAUUUUUCGUGAGCAGGAAGAGGAACCACAGUCCCCCCACAUUAAAGAGGAAGUUGAGACGCCACAGACCCAUAGUGUUAAACUGACCCUUCACAUUAAAGGGCAAGCGGAGGACCCACUGAACUUACACAUCAAAAAUAAAGAGGAGGACCCACUGACCCCUCACAUUAAACAGGAAGAGGAGGACCCACUGAACCCUCACAUUAAAGAGGAAGAGGAGGACCAAGAGCCGCCGCAGAUUAAAGAGGAAGAGGAGGAAAAGGGCAUCAGUCAGCCUAAAUGGUUGGAGGAGUUCCCAGUGACUGGUGUCCCUGUGAAGAGUGAAGAUGAUGAGGUGAAAGGUGAAAGUGAGGAGAGGGGAGGGGGGGAGCCUCCAAGCAGCAGCUCAACACAACACAUGACAACAGAAGCUGAUGGAGACCACUGUGGAGGAUCACAAGCAGACAAGCUCUUAGCUCCACUAUCAGAUAGUGAGGACACAACGUCACACUCUCCUGACACUGAUGAUGAAGACUCUAAAGAUGAUAAGACAUGUCACACUGACAACACUCACUUCACAUCUUCUCACUGUCACAAAACCUUUAAAUACCAUUGUAGUCUGAAAGUACACAUGAGAACACACACUGGAGAAAAACCUUUUUCUUGUUCACUCUGUAGUAAAGGUUUUGCACAAAGUCACGAUUUGAAAAGACACAUGAGAACACACACUGGAGAAAAACCUUUUUCUUGUUCAAUAUGUGGUAAAGGUUUUACACAACGUCAAAAUUUGAAAGUACACAUGAGAACACACUCUGGUGAAAAAAACGUUUCUUGUUCAAUCUGUGGUAAAGGUUUUGCACAAAGUAAUAAUUUGAAAAGACACAAGAGAACACACACUGGAGAAAAAGCUUUUUCCUGUUUGACCUGUGGUAAAGGUUUUACAAGAAGUACAUAUGCGAAAGUACACACGAGAACACACACUGGUGAAAAAUCACAUUCCUGUUCAAUCUGCAACAGAAGCUUUUGUUGACGAUCAACCCUUGUAGCACACAUGAGAAGACACCCAGGAGAGAAAGUGUUGAGUUGCAGUGUGUGUGGUGAAAGAUUGUCUUCUAAGUAGCAGUGUAAGAAACACAAGUGUGCUGGUGAGAACAGCAGCAGCAAAUGAAACUGCAGGAUUUGAAAUAAACUGUCCAGACUUUCAUUUUGACUUUCUAACAACAUCAGCACAUAUAACAUGUGUGACAUUGUUGUUUGUCUAACAAUCUGUUCAAUAUGCUUCUACAUUUAUAGAUUAGACAGUUUGAAAUAUAAAAGUAUUACUUAUUUGUAGUUGUAAUUGUUGAUAAUCCCAUAGAUUAUCACCUUUAUAUGAUAUACAUAUGUACUGGUUCACAUCUGAAACAUCUUCUGGACCACUUCAGGAAGCAUAUUAUUAUUUACUUUAUACAUCAUUUGAACAGUUGUCUUUUAUACAAUUUUAAAAUGUGUGACUUUAUGAAUCAUUUGUUGGGUCUCUAUAAUCCAUUUUAUUAAUCAUCUUUACUACUCUCUUUUGUAAUAUGAUGAUUGUGUUGUGAUUUUUUUAUACUUUAACUUAAUAUGUAUGUACUUGUACGUUUAUGCAAUAAAAAGUGAGAGAAAAUGGC